CGCGACCUGGGCCACGGGUUCGCCCGCCUCGGCCGGGUCGACCGCGUUGCCGGCCGAGGCCGCGGCCGGCUCGGCAUCGGCGGGCGCGGC
rnacentral:tRNA from 1 species